rnacentral:rRNA from 1 species
GAUGAACGCUGGCGGCGUGCUUAACACAUGCAAGUCGAACGGUGAAGCAGGAGCUUGCUCUUGUGGAUCAGUGGCGAACGGGUGAGUAACACGUGAGCAACCUGCCCCUGACUCUGGGAUAAGCGCUGGAAACGGCGUCUAAUACUGGAUAUGUGAUGUGACCGCAUGGUCUGCAUCUGGAAAGAAUUUCGGUUGGGGAUGGGCUCGCGGCCUAUCAGCUUGUUGGUGGGGUAAUGGCUCACCAAGGCGUCGACGGGUAGCCGGCCUGAGAGGGUGACCGGCCACACUGGGACUGAGACACGGCCCAGACUCCUACGGGGGGCAGCAGUGGGGAAUAUUGGACAAUGGGCGGAAGCCUGAUCCAGCAACGCCGCGUGAGGGAUGACGGCCUUCGGGUUGUAAACCUCUUUCAGCAGGGACGAAGCGCAAGUGACGGUACCUGCAGAAGAAGCACCGGCCAACUACGUGCCAGCCGCCGCGGUAA